rnacentral:rRNA from 1 species
CAGCCGCCACGGUAAUACGUAGGUGGCAAGCGUUGUCCGGAAUUAUUGGGCGUAAAGGGCUCGCAGGCGGUUUCCUAAGUCUGAUGUGAAAGCCCCCGGCUCAACCGGGGAGGGUCAUUGGAAACUGGGAAACUUGAGUGCAGAAGAGGAGAGUGGAAUUCCACGUGUAGCGGUGUAAUGCGUAGAGAUGUGGAGGAACACCAGUGGCGAAGGCGACUCUCUGGUCUGUAACUGACGCUGAGGAGCGAAAGCGUGGGGAGCGAACAGGAUUAGAUACCCGUGUAGUCCCUGUCUCUUAUAC